rnacentral:lncRNA from 1 species
GAAGAUCCGGCGCAGCUAAAGUCAGUGGAAGGUAGAAAGACGCCACAGCCGCCUUUCGACAACUUUUUGUUACAAAAGUGGAGAUCUACACGGAGGCGACGGCCUAGGUCGCUCUGACAGGACCCAACGACCCUCCUGACGCGUCCACCCGUCCUCGCUAGCAGGGUCCCCCAGCGGGCUCUCGACCUGCGCCACCAGAGUUCCACUCUUUUUGUCGACAAUAAUAUGGCGCCCAAACACGUGGGGCCUCAGAGAAGACUCUGGAUCCGGAAGGAGUAUCCCAAAACCAGAGCUAAGGUACCAGCUGGAGCCCACUGAAGCCUCACCGAGUUUGGGCUUCUCCUCCUGUGGAACUGGAAACCAAAAUCAUGGUAUUUUGAAAACCAGAGGUAUGAAUCUCCCUCGUUUGGCAUCCCACUGGGCCUGGACCUGUUUCACUGCUAAUGUUCUGCUGCCAAAACUAUACAAGCUGCCUGGACUAUUGCAGAAGAGAGACAGAGUCUUGCUCUGUUGCCCAGAAUGGAAUGCAGUAGCACAAUCCUAACUAAUCGUAACCUUGAACUCCUGGGUUCAAGCGAUCCUCCUGCCUCAGCCUCCUCAGUAUAGGACUACAGGCGUGCCCAGAAUUCCAGAUACUCAAGGUUGGAGAGCUACUAACCCAGUACAUGAAUUCCCAGUGUAUCUUUCAGUGUUCUGAACCUGUAUUUUACAUUUUCAGAAAAGUUGACCACAGAAGCAUGUUUAUAUUGUAUUAAAACAAACUAUUUUUCUGGAAAGUUUUCCCAUUAAGCGUCUAACCUCCAAGCAUCGAAUCCCAGGCCAAUUUGUUUCAAAGUACCAACCUGGAGAAAAUGCCCUGGAUUUGGAAGCAAAGUAUUGAAUGUUGGAAGUCUGAAUAAAGGAAUCAUACACUGUAUGUGCACCUGAAUGUACUUUACAAGCAUCAGUAGAACACUUCUGAUUGAAGCUUGGUCUUAUGAAGAUAAAAAUUUUAUGUGGACCACAGAUUCUCUAAAAAUCAAUGCUUCCUGUCCUCAAACAUCGGACUCCAAAUUCUUCAGCUUUGGGACGGACUGGCUUCCUUGCUCCUCAGCUUGCAGACAGCCGACUGUGGGACCUUGUGAUCAUAAUACCACAGUCUGGAGGCUAUGAAGUCCAUGAUUAAGAAGCCAGCACGUUUGCUUUCUGGUUCCAAGAUGGCAUACCUUUUUGCUGCUUCCUCCAGAGAGGAGGAACACUGUGUUCUCACAUAGUAGAAGAUGGAAGGAGCAGAUGCAGAUGAGCAUGGCAAUGUGAGAAUAUGUCAGAGGCCCCAGGAUGAAAUGAGCUCAAGUCCCUGAAAUCCCUGUUAGAAGAGUCUUUCCACUGGUUGGGAAUGCUAAUUGUAUUUUGACAACUCAAUGUUUCAGCAACUCAAAAUGUUACAGCUUCUGCAUUGGAAUAAAAAAAGGCAUGUAUCUUAGCAUGCAGAGAAGGGACUGAAUGAAUAUGCCCAAAGAUGUGUAACACUCAUUGUCUCUGGGGAGAUGAAGAAGAAGUAUGGAAGAAGUAAGAUGAAGAAGAAGUAUGGAAGAAUUGUCUGUGUAACCUCAUUCUUCCUGGACAUGGGACAAGAACUUGGGACCCGCUGAAUGAUGGGAGCAAAAGGAGCUGUAUCAUGUUCCUGGCCAGCUGGCUAAACUGCAGAUGGUGACAUGCUCCCAGACUGUGGGAGUGAAGAGUGGCAACCCUUCUGGCGGCCCAGACCUUAGCAUUUCCCAGGCAGAGCUGCUGUAAAACUGUAUCCCUCUUGCUCUUUGCUGGCACCAGGCGACUGGCCCACACAAUGGGAAGCAACAGUGGGGCCAGGCCAGCCCAGGAGGUGUGGGCCAGAGUGGGGUGGUGGGACUGAAAAAGCUGUUAGACAAAUGGGCUGAAACAUGCCCCAACUCUUGCCAUGCUGCAAGGGUUGAGGAGGGAAGAGCUGUCACCCUGCUGGGAUCCCAGAACUCAGGGCUCCCCAAGCCAGGAAUGUGCCAUGCUGUAACACCCUCUUUGGGGCUCUGGGGUUCCUGGUGUCUCCAAGCUUUUGAGUGUCACUGCAUUCUCUUUGUCAAGAUGCUGGUGCCCGCAGCAGAAGCUGCUUAUUGUACGUGUGGUCCAGCCACAGCCUUGCACAGAGCUGGCACCUGUGCUGGUGCCUGAAGCUGCCCCCCCGCUACAGAAAUGAGAAUUCCUGGCUGAGCACAGUGGCCAGACCUGUGCUUGCUUGCUUACACACCUUUUGCCCCUCCGUGCCUGGCUUGCCCUUUAGCAGGCAUGGGAUCCGGGCCAGAAGCAUGAACCAAGUGCAGCCUGCUGGGCUGAGUGGGCUGAACAAGCCAGCCAGUGUGAGUAAAACUCAAGCAGAGGUGCCACCAGCUCUAGAGGUUUCCAGUUGGUGAAGCGACACUCUAAGGAUCCUGUGACCCUCUCUCUCUUGAUGAUCUGAAAUUUCCAUCUCCAUGUAAUUAAAAAUAUAAAAAUACAUCCCAAUAACUUUAAUUUUGGCAGGUUAUGAAUGUGAAAUUAGGGCAUGGUGGCAUGCUCUUGUAAUCCUAGUAGCAUUUUGGAAGGCUGAGGCCACAAGUUCAAGGCUGCAGUGCGGAUUAAUUAUGAGCUCCUAAAUGAUAAAAUUACUGUUGUUAACCGUUAGAGAUGUUGGUAAUUACUAGCUAUGUUGAAAGAAUGACUAAAAAUGCAUUAAGCAUGAAAUCAUUAUUAAGCUCAAAUGGGGCAUAUUUAAAAGAGGAAACAUAGACAUCAAAAUAAAGAAAAGAUGUAGUUGAUAUGUCUUAAAUUUGCUUUUAGUUUUGUAUGUUUUCCUUUUGAAAUGAUAAAAAUAUAUCCAAUAAAUAAAGUUGAUAACUCUCCUUUGCUUUUGUCAUAUAUAAUAAUUUUUCCAGAUAAACAGUUUGAUUGUGCAAAUACCAUAGAAUUCUAGGCAGUGAAUCAAUUUAUUCAGGUUUCAUUUUAAAAUGCUUUGUUAGUAUAAGACAGGUAAUAUAUACUUGUGUAUUUUUUCCUCCUUUGUGUCAAGAGCUGUAUAACUGAUUAAUUGUGCUAAUUUAUUAGCUUUAGAACCAUGCAGAAAGAAGAGUGCUUCACAGAAUGAUUGCUUUAUGAAGCAUAAGGAGAAACAGAUGAACAUGUGAACAGUGAAAGAUCUUUUCCAUGGAACUGUGUUCAUCCUCUGAUUAAAACGAAUUGUGUAAAGUUGUAUAUUGUAUUUCACCCUUAGCAUUUGGAAAUGUGCAUGUAAUUUUGGUUUUGGUGCUUCAUUACAAUAAUGCGUAGAAAGAAAAAAGGUAUUUAUAGAAUAUUGCAAAAGCAAAUUUGUAGGAUAAAAUAUGUCUGGCCAUGUGUAUUAGAUACUAGUUAACUCAUAUCAUUACUUCAUUGGUACUUCACUAAAUUAUGUCACAAAAGCAAAUACAGGAUUUUCCAGAGCAUGCUUUUGGAAAAAUCUGAAGUUUUAUUGAGGACUCAUUAAUUUUCCCUGUCCCAUAACUUACAAUUUAUUUCACAAGCAUUAUAAACUUCAGAUCAUUCAGAUAUUGCAUUUUAGUAUUGUAAAUUAUAAGAAUAGAUUUAGAAUGCAUACUUUUUGAGGAUAGGUUGCUUUCCUUAAUGAAAGUAUCAUAUUUUUAGUUUACAGUGAAAUUUAAAGAAUGGUUUAUUAUUUGAGCUACAAUUGCAAAAACUUUAGAUAAUACAUUUAAACUUGGCAUUAGAAAGAAAAAAACUUUCUAAAUAGAAAAACUUUUCAACUUUUCUAUUUUUCAACUAGAAAUUUAUACAGUUAGAAUGUUUUUAAAGAAAAAGUUUUAUCUGUAAGGGAAGUGCUUACUGCCAACAUAUUUCACCAAAGCUUAAAUUCUCAAGAGGACAUGUCAUCCUUAUAAGCAAACCAUUCUGAUUACAUCAAUCACAUUAUAUUACCUUGGGUGACUGACUUGCAUGAGAAACCAGCAGUUGUGACUUGAAUUGCAAUAUGCAAGACAGUAAAAACCAUAUUUUACUUUAAAAUAUAUUAAUGUAUUACUUUUCCUAAUAAAAUACAUUGAAAAUUUUUAUCAGUAGCCAGGAAAUUAUAGAACUAGGCAGUUGUAUUCCUGAAGCACUUUCAGUGUUCAUGAUAAUUAAUUUGAGAAGUAGACUCUUAUCACACAGUAGCAUCUGUUGAACAUUCUUGUUUUUGGUAAAAUUAAUUUCUGACUGAUUCAUGAAAUAAAUGAUAAGGAACAUAAAUUCAGCUCUUUACUGUAUGACUCAUGUAACCUAUGACUUUUUGGGGGAAGUUUCACAUAAUGGGAAUACAUUAAGAAAUGUUUUAAAUAAAAACACAUAUAACUAA